rnacentral:rRNA from 1 species
GCACUACGGUGCUGAAGUGACAAAUGCCCUGCUUCCAGGAAAAGCCUCUAAGCAUCAGGUAACAUCAAAUCGUACCCCAAACCGACACAGGUGGUCAGGUAGAGAAUACCAAGGCGCUUGAGAGAACUCGGGUGAAGGAACUAGGCAAAAUGGUGCCGUAACUUCGGGAGAAGGCACGCUGAUAUGUAGGUGAAGCGACUUGCUCGUGGAGCUGAAAUCAGUCGAAGAUACCAGCUGGCUGCAACUGUUUAUUAAAAACACAGCACUGUGCAAACACGAAAGUGGACGUAUACGGUGUGACGCCUGCCCGGUGCCGGAAGGUUAAUUGAUGGGGUUAGCGGUAACGCGAAGCUCUUGAUCGAAGCCCCGGUAAACGGCGGCCGUAACUAUAACGGUCCUAAGGUAGCGAAAUUCCUUGUCGGGUAAGUUCCGACCUGCACGAAUGGCGUAAUGAUGGCCAGGCUGUCUCCACCCGAGACUCAGUGAAAUUGAACUCGCUGUGAAGAUGCAGUGUACCCGCGGCAAGACGGAAAGACCCCGUGAACCUUUACUAUAGCUUGACACUGAACAUUGAGCCUUGAUGUGUAGGAUAGGUGGGAGGCUUUGAAGUGUGGACGCCAGUCUGCAUGGAGCCGACCUUGAAAUACCACCCUUUAAUGUUUGAUGUUCUAACGUUGGCCCGUAAUCCGGGUUGCGGACAGUGUCUGGUGGGUAGUUUGACUGGGGCGGUCUCCUCCUAAAGAGUAACGGAGGAGCACGAAGGUUGGCUAAUCCUGGUCGGACAUCAGGAGGUUAGUGCAAUGGCAUAAGCCAGCUUGACUGCGAGCGUGACGGCGCGAGCAGGUGCGAAAGCAGGUCAUAGUGAUCCGGUGGUUCUGAAUGGAAGGGCCAUCGCUCAACGGAUAAAAGGUACUCCGGGGAUAACAGGCUGAUACCGCCCAAGAGUUCAUAUCGACGGCGGUGUUUGGCACCUCGAUGUCGGCUCAUCACAUCCUGGGGCUGAAGUAGGUCCCAAGGGUAUGGCUGUUCGCCAUUUAAAGUGGUACGCGAGCUGGGUUUAGAACGUCGUGAGACAGUUCGGUCCCUAUCUGCCGUGGGCGCUGGAGAACUGAGGGGGGCUGCUCCUAGUACGAGAGGACCGGAGUGGACGCAUCACUGGUGUUCGGGUUGUCAUGCCAAUGGCACUGCCCGGUAGCUAAAUGCGGAAGAGAUAAGUGCUGAAAGCAUCUAAGCACGAAACUUGC